rnacentral:misc_RNA from 1 species
GUUGCUAUUUGAUGACCCAGGGGUGUGAGUAUUGGUAGUGGUGAAAGAGAAGCUAGGAAUAGCAUCCUGAAAGGGAGAUCCAAAGCAAUUGCCCAUGUUGCUGUUUCUCUUAGAUGCUACAACAACUCGUUAGAUCAAGAAAACAUGUUGAUGGCAGAAGUAUAUAAAGGGGGUUGGAUCGAAGAGAUGAAAAAGAAGAGGAGAGGAGCAAGAAAAAGUGGGUUUUGUU